rnacentral:rRNA from 1 species
GCCCUUACGGCUCAGUAACACGUAGUCAACAUGCCCAAAGGACGUGGAUAACCUCGGGAAACUGAGGAUAAACCGCGAUAGGCCAAGGUUUCUGGAAUGAGCCAUGGCCGAAAUCUAUAUGGCCUUUGGAUUGGACUGCGGCCGAUCAGGCUGUUGGUGAGGUAAUGGCCCACCAAACCUGUAACCGGUACGGGCUUUGAGAGAAGGAGCCCGGAGAUGGGCACUGAGACAAGGGCCCAGGCCCUAUGGGGCGCAGCAGGCGCGAAACCUCUGCAAUAGGCGAAAGCCUGACAGGGUUACUCUGAGUGAUGCCCGCUAAGGGUAUCUUUUGGCACCUCUAAAAAUGGUGCAGAAUAAGGGGUGGGCAAGUCUGGUGUCAGCCGCCGCGGUAAUACCAGCACCCCGAGUUGUCGGGACGAUUAUUGGGCCUAAAGCAUCCGUAGCCUGUUCUGCAAGUCCUCCGUUAAAUCCACCUGCUCAACGGAUGGGCUGCGGAGGAUACCGCAGAGCUAGGAGGCGGGAGAGGCAAACGGUACUCAGUGGGUAGGGGUAAAAUCCAUUGAUCCAUUGAAGACCACCAGUGGCGAAGGCGGUUUGCCAGAACGCGCUCGACGGUGAGGGAUGAAAGCUGGGGGAGCAAACCGGAUUAGAUACCCGGGUAGUCCCAGCUGUAAACGAUGCAGACUCGGUGAUGGGCUAGCUUUAUGCCAGCUCAGUGCCGCAGGGAAGCCGUUAAGUCUGCCGCCUGGGGAGUACGGUCGCAAGACUGAAACUUAAAGGAAUUGGCGGGGGAG